rnacentral:rRNA from 1 species
CCUACGGGUGGCAGCAGUAGGGAAUAUUGCACAAUGGGGGAAACCCUGAUGCAGCAACGCCGCGUGAGUGAUGAAGUUUUUCGGUUUGUAAAGCCCUAUUAUUAGGGAAGAUAAUGACGGUACCUAACGAAUAAGCACCGGCUAACUACGUGCCAGCAGCCGCGGUAAUACGUAGGGUGCAAGCGUUAUUCGGAAUCACUGGGCGUAAAGAGCGCGUAGGCGGGUUAGCAAGUCAGAUGUGAAAUCCUAUGGCUUAACCACAGAACUGCAUUUGAAACUGUUAUUCUAGAGUGUGGGAGAGGUAGGUGGAAUUCUUGGUGUAGGGGUAAAAUCCGUAGAGAUUAAGAGGAAUACUCAUUGCGAAGGCGACCUGCUAGAACAUAACUGACGCUGAGGCGCGAAAGCGUGGGGAGCAAACAGGAUUAGAUACCCGAGUAGUC